rnacentral:lncRNA from 1 species
GUUUUCUUUCAUUACCUUGAGUUUGGUGAUCAGCAAGAGGACCUUGGGGAAGCUACCACCUCUCACCUGUAUAUAUGUCAGGAACUGCACGUGGGCAAACUAAUCUGUGUCAAGAGUAAUCUAAAGAAAUAAUGAACGCAGAGCCAGAACUAAGAGCCUCUAGUGACUAGGUGAUUAGGAUCAUUUGCCCACAAACCUUCACUGGUGAGAAGAUGCCCACCAGUCUCUGAUAAACCACCCAUAAAGCAGGCUCCUGAAAGGUGGCCCUCGAGGCUGAGAGUCUGCCAUCUUCUGACCAGCUAGCUCAUUUUAAUGAGGCUCUUUCUCCAGCACCGCCUUGCCUUUGGGGUGAUUGGUUUCCAUUGUGGUGAGCAGAGGGAUCCUCCACUGUGCUGCAACAUUACCGUCUUAGGUUCAGUGACUGGAGCCCAGGAGGCAAACUAGUUUAACUAGAGAAAAAAAUUAUCUUAAUUUCAUAUGUGUGCACAGGAACUCACAAAGGAAAAAAAAUGUGGCUCCAGGAGGUAACCAGGUGAUUGAGGUUUAUAUAUUAUCUUAAGUUAAACAAAGGGAAGGAGGUUUGGGGAUUUCUGAGCAGGAAGGGCAAGAAGCGGAAAUGCAUGGUGAAUGCAGGUUGUUUUGUUAUGCAGAUAAGUCUGUCAGGUGGUAAGUGUUGUCUCCAGGUGUACCUCUCUUUCUGGGAGGGAGACACAUACAAAUGUAAAUUUCCUUUAUAAAUGCAAAUUCCCUUUACAAAGAGGGAAAUUUUUAGUUUCAGGCAGUUAGAGGGAGGUAAAAAGCUUUUCCUGCAUCUGCUGGUUCUUAGUUGCUUUUACCUCUAAAUAGCCCCUAGGCCAAUGCGGCAUAUUUGAGUGGUGUUCCGGUAUACUUUAUUUCCAAGCACAUCUAGACUCAGGAUAGAAUAUUUUCUCAAAUGAUGGUGCAUUUGACUGACCAGGGGCUAAAGGUGGGCAAAAGACUCUAGGAUAUCAGAGAAGAGGUUGCAACUCAUUCUGGCCUGUGCCCUCCUGACCAUCUGUCUCCUGCCUAGGAUCUAUAUCAUGUUGCUGAUUUAAAUUCAAACACUGGCUCCACCUAGGGUUCCUUAGAAUUGAUUGUCUCUAGGCAUGACAUAGUAUUUUUGUUUGUGUUCCCAUGUUCUGCUUAGCGGGAACUCUUCAAGUUGCAUAAGACUUGAUGGAGCUCAUUCUUUAGCAGCCUUAUCUCACUGGUUUUUGCAUUUUGCUGAGAAGAAGCCAGCUUGGUUCUCUUCCUUUCAUGGGUCUUACCAAACAACAACAACAACAAACACACACACACACACACACACACAAACCAACAAAACCCAGAACCAAAGUUACAAUGAGAGCAAAUAUUUGAGAACUUAUCUGAAAAAAUUGGGUGUGUGGGGGGACUAUGCCUUGGGAAAAGAGAGUCCAAUCAAUAUACAGAUUAAUAACCUAGGACAAUAUUUUUGAUAUUUCCCUCCUCCUUUGUUUUUCCUUUAGCAUUUUGACUAUAGGAUUAUACCACAAGGGGCAGCAGGUGGUUUUAUUCUGACCAAUGCAGCCUUGAUAGGAACAGAAGAUAAAAAUUGGGUGUUAAAAUGGUGUCAAUACCUUAAUGGAUGCGAAAUGAAUAAGUUCUUCUGGGGCAGGUACCAUGCUUAUUCAUCUUUAUGCCCCCUGAAAUGACAGGUCAAGUAACCUGUAUACAGCAAAUGAUUGAUAAAAGUUUACUGAACUGAAUUAUGGAAGAUGGCUGAAUCUCAGGACUUGACACAUGCUCUUAAUCUUUUGGAGAUAUUGUCAAGGACAAUCAUGAGUCUUUGGAGGUGGGCAAUGUGUAGUCAUUUUUUACUGUAUUUCUGAAGGUUUGUAUAUGGUUAUUUAAUCAACAUGACAUAAAAUCUAAGGACGCAGCUCAUUUUCAUUUUGCUUUAUUUAAAUCAGACUUAAAGAAAACUUACUCAGAUCACUCCAUUAUUUAUAAACAACCACUAUAGUCCGAAGAGAGACAUAGAUACUGGGAGGUGGAGGACAAGUUCUACCAGGUAAACAUCUACUAUUUUAGUGAAUAUUGGUUGUUAAAUAAAAAUCACAGGAGGCUAUUGUUUUGGACUAAGUUCCUGUGCUAAACCCCAACAGACCAGGCUAAAAUUCAAAUGGAGCCUUGUGUGGUGGUGCAUGCCUAUAAUCCCAGCGACUUGGGAAGCUGAGGCAGGAGGAUCUUGAGUUCAAAGCCAAUCUUUGCAUAUAAAUUUCAGAUCAUCUAAUAAUGAAAGACCUAAGCAAUUUCAUUCUGCUUGGGAUCUUAUUUUGCUCUGAAACUUAACCUCUGACUUAUUGUAGUCCUAAAGUCAGGAAAAAAACUACAGAAAAGCUCUGUGGAAACAGUUCUCUGAAAAGCCGGAAAAGCCGCAGAUAGGCCAAGAUAACCACAUAUCUGAAAUUCCAGAUGGCUUCCACCUAGGUAUGGUAACUAGUAUCUAAACUAGAAGCCCUGCAGUUUGGCACGUACUCCCCUUGUGACAUCCUCACAGUUUAAACCAAUCAGUUUAAAUGAAUCCCCCUCUUGUAGUGACCAAUCCCCCCUACCCAAAUUGUUCCCGCCAGUGAAUGUGCUAAUCAUGUUUUAGAGUUGUUAUUUGAUUUUCCCGCGGUGUGUGAUGAUUUGCUAAAAGAGGCUAUGAUGUAUGUGAAGUCCCUGCCCUCUCCAAAAAAUGUAUAAAAAUGCUGCAAACCCUGAGCUUGGGGCCUCUCAGCAUCACCAGUUGCUGUGUGUGGUGCGCACGGAGGACCGAGCUAGCUCGCAAUAAACAACUCUUUGCUGCUUGCAUCGAUCUUGGGUCUCUGGUGGUCUUUGGGGGUCCCGAAUUCGAGCAUAACAAUAACAUGAGGCAAAAUGGUCUUGGUACAUGAAUAUUCUCUAUUAUUAGGCCUUUUCUGCCUGUCAACAUCCAGGCAAGUUUAGGUGAGGAAAAAUCGAUUUAUCUCUGUCCUUUCUUUUUAGCUGGGAACUCUUAGAGUAAAAGACCACAUAAAAAAUUAACAUGUUUGCUUCAUGUAGAGGUGGGAGAUACAGAGGGAGAAAUGAAUAAAUCUCAAGAGAUGGCUUUGAGUUGAAACACAUCUUCACCUGAAUGGCAAGCUGUGGGGAGGCUGGUUUUAGGAAGGUGUCAUUAUGCAGAUUUCUUGGUGCUUUCUUGUGAAAGGAGUCUCCACUGAUUUAGUCAUCCUUCUCUUCCUGGUGGGGAUGGAGACUACCCUGCAGAUGGAGAAUUCCUUUACAGAUGUAAAUUCCCUUUACAAAAGGGAACUUUUUGUUUUCAGAGCUUCUCCUGCAUCUGCAGUUUCUCAAAAUAAUCCCUAUGCAGGAGAAGCAUCUCUCAGGAUGGCUUGUUCUGUUCUCUGCAUGCUCCUUAUAUCCCUUACAGGGCUCCUUGGGUUAAAUUGUUCUACUGUGUAGAAGGGUCUACCUCUAGUGACAUGGCUCUCUGGCUGCCAAGCUACGUAGCUGGACUACUGGUCCCUGCCACGAAGUGAUAGUGGAGCAUUGGAGUGGUGGCCUGGCAUGGGCAGGAAACUCAGACUCCAGCAUCCUGGAGCCCACCAUGUCAAAGCAUGCUGACCUGUCACCCUGCAGUGGCCAGGUCUGGGCACAGUGCAAACACCUGCUGCAGAAGCCAGUCACACAGCACUGCAGUUCAGAACCUGUAACCAUAGACUUUCCAGUGACUUCAACCUCCUGCUUUGUGACCUGCAAAGAAAAAAUGGACGUAGGGUAGACCUGAAUAGAAGUUGGGACUCAAAGUUUGACCCAUAGCAUUAGUACUUUUCCAAACCCUAAUUAGCAUAAGUUUGGGCCAAUAGCAGUGAUCCACAAGCUAUCUAAACCCUAGACUAGCACACUUGGUAGGGAAAACCUGCUAUUGAGUCCCUCUUAGAGUGCAAUAGUUCUGUUCCUGUUUCUAUUCUUUAAUAAAUCCUACUCUUACACUCACUCUUCCUGGUCUGUGGGUUUCGUUCUUUGAAUUCAUGGGACAAGAACCCAGAAAGAGGAAGAAAUUGAUGGUGAGCUGCUGGGGUCUGCUGCAAUGCUGGAGGGCAUAGCCCACUAUGAAGAGCUGCAAUACCUCUCAGCUGCAGAGGUCAACCUUAUGCAGACCCCACCUGCCAGCAGAAGUGGAGAAACUCUGGGGUCACCUGCCAGCAGAAGCAGAGAAUUGAGUUUCAUCAUUUAUGCAGACUUUCCAUGCAUAAAUGCUAUUUAACAAUCUCCUAAGAAUCUUCCAAAUUUCUCUGGGAGUACCAGAGCAGGGAGUCACUAGGGACCCUUCUAGGGAAGGUGAAAUGACAGAUUCUGCCUUAGAGAUGAGCCCAGGUACCCUUCGGACAGGAAAUGGGAUCACAGUGGGUGGCCACCAGGAGUCCAUAGAUGUUGAAGUGGGGAAAGUCAGCAAAUGGAGCAAAUGGAGGGGAUCCAAGAGAUGGGGCUUCUGCCACCAGGGCCAGGUGGCACCCAGAAGGUGGGAUAGGUGCUGAUGAGACAAGAAGUAAGACCAGGUUCUUCCCAUUGCCAGCCCAUCUCACUGCUUUUCUUUGUUUUUGUUUAUAUUUUAUAUUUUUAUUUUCACAGAGUGUAUUUUGACAUAUUAUACACGGAGUACAACUUCUGAUUCUUGUGGUUGUGCAUAAUGUGGAGUUACACUGGUUUUGUAUUCAUAUAUAAAUGUAGGAAAGUCAUGUCUGAUUCAUUCUACUGUCUUUCCUAAUCCUAUCUCCCUUCCCUUCCCUUCAUUCCCCUUUGUCUAAUCCAAUGAACUUCUAUUCUUUUUACCCGCCCCCUCUUUUGUGUGUUAGCAUCUACAUGUCAGAGAGAACAUUUGAUCUUUGUUUUUUGGGGAGAAUUGGCUUAUUUCACUUAGAAUGAUAGUCUCUGGUUCCAUCCAUUUACCAGCAAAUGCCAUAAUUUCAUUCUUCUUUAUGGCUGAGUAAUAUUCCAUUGUGUAUAUAUACCAUAUUUUCUUCAUCCAGUCAUCUGUUGAAGGGCACCUGAGAAACCAGCCUCUACCUCAGAGCAAAGCCUGUCCCAAGAAGGGGGCAUGACCCUUGUCUUUGGAAAGACCCACAGAGCACUCCUAGGCACAUACCCACCCUGCUGAGUUGUUUAUCUACAAAUAACAGGAGAGAUCUUUAGAGCCAGGUGUCCCUGACUCAGUCAGGCUAGGUGAGGACCCAUAGCAACCCCCUAGCAACCACCAAUCAUCAUGAGACAGGGAAAAUACCUGGGAUGCCAGAUGACCCUCCUGCUGGUAGCAGGCCCGCCCUGGCCCCUGGGGACUCAACCCCCAGUUCUUUGUUAUGCAUGUCAAUGUGGCCAGCUCACAAGGCCGUGAUGCGGGCUUUCGGUUCCCUGUUUAUCUGCCUAGAGCAUAUGUGUCUCUUGGGAACAUCUUGACCUGUUCGAGCCUCCUGAUAGGGGAUGGUGACGUGUCGGUAACCCAAGGACGCAGUUAUUACUCUUUCCUCCUCACUUUUGAGUAAUUUCCCGCAGCUGUUAAAAAGAUAUAUAAGGGGAACAAAUUUGGCAAUAAAGGGCGCACAUGCUCCCUCCUGGAUGAAGAACCUUGGUGUCCUGUGUAUUUUUUAACCUCGCCG